rnacentral:lncRNA from 10 species
CCAAAUCACUGCCCUCAGCCAGGAACCCAUCCAAUCUCUAAAACAUUUUCCCAGAUGAGGAUGGACCAAAUUUAAGAGAGAAACCAGGUCAGCAGGGGGACUUUUCACCUUCCUGCAAUUCCUCUUCCAGCUUUGGUUCAGUCAUGUAAGCCCUGUCACUCUGACAUGUGCUCAGCUGGUUUCCUACAACCAUAACUGUGUAUUUGCACAUAGGUCUAAGGCAGUCAUGAUGGCAUUGUCUUUUUUAAUGAUCUAGAUAGGAUCUUAUACAAUUUUGAAAAAAAGCUUUUUAUUUCUUUUAGCCAAAUAGUAUUCCGCUAAUAAUCUUAGCCUUGAAACACAGCCCAUGCUCUGAUAGAAGGGAUCUGAAGUUAGAAGAUCAGCUUGAGAGUUCAAAGGAAAAAAUCAGCUUCUUAUUCUACCCAUACCCCACCUUGUGAAGAGUAACAGAAUUUUUGUGCAUGAGAAUUUUUUAAAAAGAAGAAAAUGUAGUUUUAUGGGAUUUUGUCAUCAAAAUGCCUGAGGAAUUUAAAUAUCACAACAAGCUUGUAGGAAAAGCAUCAAAUUAAAAAAUUACACCAGCAUAGAAACUUGUGCAGAAAACCUAUUGGUACUCAUAUCAAACCCCUGCAGGGUAAUUAUUUACUAAAUAAAUCAGAAUUAUUCAGUUACUACAUAUCUUAAAUUGGGAUGCAAGUAGUGCCACGAGUCUAGCUAAAGAUGAGGCCUAACAGCAGAACCAAAUUUAUAAUUCUAGAUACUACAUUUCAAGAGGAAAAAUAAAAGCCAUGUUGUCCUUAUCAGCUGGGAAUAGAGAAUUUCAGUAUGAACUGAAUUUUAAUUUCCCAUAGUCCUUAGAAGUUACAAUAAAUUAAUCCGGCAAAGAAGAUUCAAAAGCUAUUUUUUGCCACCUAAGAAAAUACAUGGACCUGCAUUAUAGUUGCUAUUAUAUUUGCACAAAGAAAGUUGCCAAAGAAAAUGUAAUAAACCAUCCAGGAGUAAAGUUAAACUUUCCAAAAAGAGCUGAUUUAUCUUAUAAAGAAGAAUAAAUGCAAUAUUUUGAUGAAACUGAUCAUACCCAAUAAUGACAUCAACAUAAUUCUGAUAUUUUUAGAAUCCUAGAGGGCUAUCUCAUUUGAUUUACACAAUUAAAGGUUAAAAAAAAAACUGUAUCUUCUUUGUGUUCAAACCUGUACCAAAGAUCUUUAACCCUUCUCUUUAUUCUUUUAAAGACUGCUUCCCAGUUCAUAAAGCAAACUCCUCUAAGCAGUACUCACAAUUUUUAAAAGAAUGUACAGAUAACCCUAAGAUAACUUGUGAGAGCCACUCUCAUCCUGCAACUCACUCCACAGAAUAUUAAAAUGUUAAAGCACAGAAUGCUAAACCCACCACCUACAGUCUCAUGUAUAUAUGAACAUCUAAUUAUCUACCCUGUAAAUUUUAUCGAGACUAACUAUAAGUACUUGUCCAGAUUUCUUUGUUUAAUAUACCACCAAAGUCAUUUACCUGUGAUUUUUCAUUUUUCCCCAUUUUUGUUUUGAUCAGGACACAAUACAAAAUUUUUAUCAAAGGUAUCAAUCUCUGUAUUUAGCAUAAUUCAUAACCUAAUUUAACAAUUACUUUAGUGAGCAUCUGUACAAUAUCUGUUUUAAAGACCUAUAGGUAAAAGAAACUAUUAUUGACCAUAUAAGGUAUCAACCAAAACUGUGCUUGGUGUAUACACCAACUUUGUAACCACAAAAUGGUUACUUUGUCCAAUGCAGAGCCCAGGGGAAAUACUUUUUUUGUAACUGAGUUUUAGAAAUUAUUCAUUCUAAAACCACAUAAAAUAAUUUUUAAACAAAAUCACUCUUAUCUGCCCUGAAAUUAACUAAUUGUAUCCCUUUAUUCUAAGUCACAUCUCCUCAAAAUUUGCAGGUAGAAAUCCGCUUCCUACACAGUUUCAGCUUUCUCCAAAAAUAUCAGAUACGCAGAAAAUAAAAUAGAAAACAUUCUGCCUUGAUGAGUAGAAAAAUGAUUCUAGAAAAGGGUAGGAAAUCCCCUUCUGAAUCCAGGUGUUUCAACUUCAUUGAAUACUGCUGUGUGGUUUGUUACCGGUUUUUUAAUGAGAACAGGCUUGUGUACCACAAACUGUGUCCUCACUGUUAUAAAUGGGCCACUAACUUAGCCAGUAAACUUGUAUAGGAUGUGAUGUGUCCAGUCCUUUGGGCAAGAUGCCCCACCCUUUUUAAUGAGGAGGAGGGGGCAUUUUAAACCACCAAGGGAAAAUAUUGAGCAUAUUGAAUGUGAAACUUCUGAUUCUUCAAUUACAUUAUUUUUCCCCCAGGGAUAAAAAGGAGGGCACUCUCUCUAUCAGAAGGGCGGUGUCACGUGAAGUGCAGCUGGUGCGGGUGGUGGAGAGGCCAAGCCUUUCGCAAACCACCUACAACUCUUACCACCUGAAUGAAGCUUCUGAGAAGGGGUACUGCAUCUUGAAGCCAGACAAGAAUCCCUGAAGGGGAGAGGGAGUGAGGAGGGAAGGGGGGAGACUGGGAAACAAGAAAUCAUCUCCUCUGACCUCUAGUGAAGUGCCAGGUUUUUUCUUUAGCUCUUCACAUUUUCUAAAUUUGCAGAUCUGGUGUCCCGUUUUGCGGUUCCUGCAACUGCUGCAGACGCCACAGUUGAUGAGCCUCUUGCAGGGCACGCAGACCCCACACCUUUUCCUCUUCUUCUUGGCUGGGUUGGCUCCGCCAGCUCCCCCUGAGGAGGACGAGGAGGAGGAGGAAUGAUUCUGCGGGCAGUCUGCCAGAUUGGCAAUUUGAAACGCACUGUCUGUGACGGCUGCUGAGGCUGCUGCGGGGGAGUGAAGGGCUGUCAUGACGAUGACCCCUGGAGCACUCUUUUUGCUGGGGAGAAAGAAGAGGGGAAGGAUGAUUACUCAGAGACUGCUCAAGUCACUCUGAGGUUGACAAACCUGAGGAAGUCAUCACUUCUUUAUCCUGUGCCUUGGAAUAAAGACAUAUGAAAUGAAACCACUCCAACUCUAAGCUUGGAGUCAAGUACGACCCAUUCAAAGUCAAACAGACAAGAUUAGGAAACCAAUGCGAACCUACAGACCAAAGACUAGAAGAAAAAAGGAUUCUGAGCUCUGACUUCCCUCCUUGUCAUGUUGCCUGAGGAGAAUUGCAGACAGACCCUCAGACCUCAAAUAGUCUAGAUUUUGAAGACCCUGCUUUGGCUGAGAUGAGGCCAGCAUUGGAGUAGAAAUGCUGCUUGCUUCACUGAAGCUACAGGUAGAAGCUGACUACCAAAGGAGAAGGCUGAGGAGAAAUUGCUCCAUGAGAUAAGGCAAGACAUUUAUCCCUGAAUGCUGUCUCUCCAAAUGCACAGAAACAUGUCAUAAAGUGUGGGACUAGGGUCUCUAAAGGACAUGUAAUACCUCAUUUCUGGAGAUAUGGUCUAACAUGAAAGGGUCAUAAUCGAUGGUCAAGUCACAAAAUUUAUUUCUAGAGUCAUUUUACUAAAUAUGGAGAGAUCUGCAAAAAUUGUAUGCCUGGGGAAAAUCCCAAUCAGACCAACUGACCCAGACCAAUCAAUGACAACUCAGAGUAGUAAUGAAAAAUUCAUUUAGACUAACUCCCAUAAUUUGCUAAGAGGCACUGUACUAAGUAUAUAACACAAUAUCUCAUUGUGUGAUCCUUAUAAUAGCUCUAUGAGGUACAUGUCAUUCUUCCUAUUUUUUAGACAGAAAAGUCUCUGAUAAAUAACUUGUCCAAAGUCACGUAUUUACCACAUUUACCAGAGUUAUAACCCAAAUCGGUCUGACUCUAAAUGCUCUUAGCCAUUCAGUCCUACUGCAAAAUAAGCACACCAGUGGAGAGCAAUAGAGAAUGGGAACGCAGUCACAAUGGGAGCCUGUCAUUGGAUCUCAUGUAUGCAGAGGUUCCUUCUUCCAGGAGAGCUUUGCCCUUGUCCUCAUGAACUUUUAUGUCAAUACAUUCAAUGCACUGUAUUGGAUUUCUAGAUUGGGAGCUAAAAAAAGAACAGAUUUCUAAAUAUCAGCUAUCUUAUUUUACCAGCUUGCCUUAAACCAGUUACAGAAUAUCUCUAUUUAUAAUUAUUUUUACCUAAAAAUAGGAAUAAAACUACUCUUCAAUAUGUGAUUUUUAAAAAGGAUGAUAAAAUCAAAGGAAUUUAGAAUAAUCCUUGCACAUAGUGGGCACUUAGAAACUUUUGCUUCCUUAUUGACUCCCUUCUCCUUACAUUUCAAUCUUGUUCCAUGUCUCAUGGCCUCUUCAGAGCAGAGACUAUGUAGUAUUUACCUUCAUAUCUUCAGACAAAAUGCUUAGCAUAUAGUCGGUGGUCAGUUACUGGAAAUGAUUUAAAGACAUUGAGAAUUACUUCCUUUGAAAUUUUAAGAGGUGUGGUAAAACUUUGGUUUCAGAAUAUAUCUUUAUUGAUUUUUUAAAUAUGUAUUUUUCUUAUAUAUUAUGGUCAACCUCUUGGGAUCUUUAGAAAAGAACAUUUUCCAGUUUUUUUGAAUCUCGGGCCAAGAGAAUUAGAACACUCCAUAAAAUUACACAGGUAUAUCUGAUAAAGGCCAUACUCUAUUUUUCCAUAUAAGUAUAAAACUGUUGUAUAAAAAAUUACCUUCUGGCCAGGUGUAGUGGCUCACACCUGUAAUUUCAGCACUUUGGGAGGCCAAGGCAUGCAGAUCACUUGAGGCCAGGAGUUCAAGGCCAGCCUGGCCAACAUGGCGAAACCCCCCUCUACUAAAAUACAAAUAUUAGCUGGGCCUGGUGGCACGUGCCUGUAAUCCUAGCUACUGUGGAGGCUGAGGUGGGAGAAUUGCUUGAACCCAGGAGGCGGAGGUUGAAGUGAGCCAAGAUCAUGCCACUGCACUCUAGCCUGGGCAACAGAGCAAGACUCUGUCUCAAAUAUAUAAAUAAAUAAAUUACCUUGUAAAAUAUUAUCCUCUUCCCUCAAAUAUAUACAGUAAAAGAUGUCUGUCUAAUAUUAUAAUAUAUUUUGUUUAGCAAAAAUACAUUAGUCAGUUAUUUAUCUUAAAUUUCCUUUAUCCUCCUGAGUCUAACAUGUUUAUUUUUAUACUGGACUUUGGUCUAUCCAUUUCACAUAUGGGUCAACUAUUUCCUAUACAGAUAGUUUAGUUAUCUGUUAGCUGCAUAGCAACCUAAUCCCAAAAUAGUGUUUUAACAUUUCUUCACCAUCGCUGAGUUGUCUGGACUCAGCUGAAUGGUUGUUCUGCUUCCUAUGAUGUCAGCGAGGGCUAUAGUCAUGUGAGGUCAUACGUGGCCUACAACAUCCAAGAUGGCUGCCUCCUAUAACUGGCAACGGAUGUAAGCUGUUGGUUGAGAAAUGCUAGUAAGCAGGUCUCCUAAGUUUUCCUCCACAUGACCUCUCCAUGUGGCUGGUUUCUGAGAAGGAGUACCCAAAGAGUGAACAUUUCAAGAGAAGGAAGCAGAAGCUAAAGGUCCCUUAAGGCCUCCUUUCUGUGCAUUCAGUUGCUCAAAGGCCAGCCCAGAUUCAAAGGAGGAGAAAUAAACACUCCUGUUGAUCUGAUGUGCAUUAAAGAGAAGAAAUUAGUGAGUCAUUUUUAAAGACUGAUCAUUAAAUAUAGUUACCCUGUUAUAUUUUUUCAUAAAUGAUUUCCUUCUCCAUUCUACCCCUAUAAAUUUUUCUCUAUAUGUGAGAAUUUAAAAUCUGUGGUUUCUUUCUAUGUACUAAUCUACACAUAGUUGUGUUUAUUAUUUGUCUUUGAUGAAUAUAUUAUAUGAUACUGAAAGCCUG